UUAUUAUUUGUUUUACUAUUAUGUUGUAUUACAUUUGCUGAGUAAUGAAGUUGUGUCAUUAAGAGCUUGACGAAGUGAGAACCUUGUGUGUAUUUGUGUUUAAGAGCGCUCAAUAAUCACUGAAUAUGCUGUAUGAAUGUGAAAGAAUUGUGUACACUGUGUUUAACUAUUUUGAGAAGAGGUGGGAUAAGGGUUAGAGCCUCCACACACCGGCGCCGCAGCGUCGCGUCAAAAAGUCUGCCCCCAUUAUUCCGGGUGUACUAGCACACACCGGCGCCGACUAGCCGCGCGGCAACGUUCCGCGCCGCGCCGCCCAACUACUCUUCGAGACAGUGUUCUAUUCCCGAGCGUCGCCGCCCCUCAAAAAGCGCUUUGUAAAAGCUGGUUUGUACAUCCCGGGUCCCGUAGGCACCUCCAUAUCUACCCCUCACCACUGGAUGUCGCCCUCUUUCGUUUGUGAGAAACAAUUACGAGAAUGGACGAUGAGAGACUGGUCGUCGAGGUGGAAAAAUACGUCGAAUUGUAUGACCAAAGUUCCCGUCAUUACAAAGACAACUCCAAAAAGGUCAUUGCCUGGCGAGCCAUAGCUCUGGAGAUUGGAUCUUCAGGUGAGAAAUCAACAAUGGUGGACUAAGUACCCAAACCAUUAACCAUAAUGGGAAAUAGACGAAAUCAAGUCACAUAUAAUCACACCAUGUAGGUAGAAACCAGAUUACUUGUAAUAUAUAUAUUUUUAUUUAAGGCAAGGAAACUUCAUUCAUAUAGCACUUUUAAUACAUGAAGCAGACUCAAAGUGCUUCACAUAGAAACAUUCUCAUACAAUAAAAUAGAUAAGUAAAAGAAAACACAGGCAAAGCUCAAAAAUGCAUUGUCAUGUAUUAACUGUCUCUCUGGUAUCAGAUCAUGUAUUAACUGUCUCUCUGGAUUUAAGGAAAAAUAACAUUAAGUGUCUUGAGCACUCAAAUAAAAUACACUGGCUACUGAAUCCAGCACAGCAAUAACAUCACUGUAUUUAUCCCGAGGGAUAAAAAAAAGUAUAUAUAUAUAUAUAUGCAAAAGAGUAUACCAGAGAGGGAUAAUAACUAGAUUAUAGGUCAUCAUAUAGGCUGCACCCAGGGCCGUAGCACCAAAUCCUGGGCCCCUAUACUAUAGGUACUGAUGGGCCACC
ensembl:lncRNA